rnacentral:rRNA from 1 species
AGGAUGAACGCUAGCUACAGGCUAACACAUGCAAGUCGAGGGGCAGCAUCAGGUUAGCUGCUAACCUGGAUGGCGACCGGCGCACGGGUGAGUAACGCGUAUCCAACUUCCCCCUGCUCAGGGAUAGCCCGGUGAAAACCGGAUUAAGACCUGAUAGUUUCACUAGAUGGCAUCUGACGGUGAAUAAAGGUUUCGGCAAGGGAUGGGGAUGCGUCUGAUUAGCUUGUUGGCGGGUAACGGCCCACCAAGGCGACGAUCAGUAGGGGUUCUGAGAGGAAGGUCCCCCACAUUGGAACUGAGACACGGUCCAAACUCCUACGGGAGGCAGCAGUGAGGAAUAUUGGUCAAUGGGCGGAGGCCUGAACCAGCCAAGUAGCGUGCCAGGAAGACGGCCCUAUGGGUUGUAAACUGCUUUUGUGCGGGAAUAAAGUCAGGGACGCGUCCCUGUUUGCAUGUACCGCAAGAAUAAGGACCGGCUAAUUCCGUGCCAGCAGCCGC